UACGGAAGGUCCAAGCGUUAAUCGGAAUUACUGGGCGUAAAGCGCGCGUAGGUGGUUUAUUAAGUUGGGUGUGAAAUCCCCGGGCUCAACCUGGGAACUGCAUCCAAAACUGAUUCACUAGAGUACGAUAGAGGGAGGUAGAAUUCACAGUGUAGCGGUGGAAUGCGUAGAUAUUGUGAAGAAUACCAAUGGCGAAGGCAGCCUCCUGGAUCUGUACUGACACUGAGGUGCGAAAGCGUGGGUAGCGAACAGG
rnacentral:rRNA from 1 species